rnacentral:rRNA from 1 species
GUAAUACGGGGGAUGCAAGCGUUAUCCGGAAUUAUUGGGCGUAAAGCGCCUGUAGGUUGUUUAAUAAGUCUGUUGUUAAAGACUAGGGCUUAACCCUAGAAAAGCAAUGGAAACUACUAGACUUGAGUAUGGCAGGGGUAGAGGGAACUUCUAGUGUAGCGGUGAAAUGCGUAGAUAUUAGAAAGAACACCAGUGGCGAAAGCGCUCUACUGGACCAUUACUGACACUGAGAGGCGAAAGCUAGGGUAGCAAAAGGGAUUAGAUACCCCUGUAGUCCUAGCCGUAAACGAUGGAUACUAGAUGUUGUAUAUUUUUUACAGUAUCGUAGCUAACGCGUUAAGUAUCCCGCCUGGGGAGUACGCUCGCAAGGGUGAAACUCAAAGGAAUUGACGGGGGCCCGCACAAGCGGUGGAGCAUGUGGUUUAAUUCGAUGCAACGCGAAGAACCUUACCAGGGCUUGACAUACUACAAAUCUCUUUGAAAGAAGAGAGUGCCUUCGGGAAUGUAGAUACAGGUGGUGCAUGGCUGUCGUCAGCUCGUGUCGUGAGAUGUUGGGUUAAGUCCCGCAACGAGCGCAACCCUUAUUUUUAGUUACCAAUUUUAUUGGGUUCUCUAGAAAGACUGCCGGUGACAAACCGGAGGAAGGUGAGGAUGACGUCAAGUCAGCAUGCCCCUUAUGUCCUGGGCCACACACGUGCUACAAUGGUUAUGACAAAGAGUCGCAAGUUCGYGAGGACAAGCUAAUCUCAUAAACUUAACCUAAGUUCAGAUUGUA